UUCAUGACAAGGGCCUGACACUCUUUGAUAGAGAAAGAUAGUCUUAUUGCGAUUCCUAUAAGAGGAAAGAGAAAAUAGUGCAAUGCUUUGUCUUUAUCACCGACCGGGUUUUUUUUCAUGGUCGGGUUAUGGCAGCUUAGGAAGGAGGGUGAUGGCGAUAUACAGAAAUUUAUAAGAGUGAAAGAGACAAAAUCCCGCAAGAUGCCAUACAUUAAACUGUCAAUCAUAUUGUCAAGAGUGCUAGUAAACAACGUGGUUUUCUUAUUGUAGAAGUUUUAUAAAGUGAAUGAUUGUGUUUAUUAAGUAUUUAAUGGAGGUGUAAGAAGUUUUUACGUACAAUUAACAUGGUGGGGUGUUCAGUGGUUGCCUACAAAAGCAAUAACUUGCGAAAAUUAGCGGGUGUAACAUUUCAUGCGUAAGUACAAGUUUUUCGUAUUUUGAUCAUGUAUUUCUUUCUCAAAUCUCACAGGAACCAAGUUACUGAGUUACAUCAUUACUUGGAUUAUGAAAAACUUGAUAAAAUAGGAGAUAUCAGUAAAUUAUUGCUAAAAACAAAACAGAAAGUUUGGUUAUGUAAUCCAGUCAAAUUCAGUAGUAUUUUAUUUAGGGUUGCAAACAAAUAGAAAAAAAAGUCCCCUGCAAUUACCCCAUAUUUCGGGAGUUUCAAGCUAUUUAAUAUUUCCAGCUCUCCGACGGAGGAUGAAAUUGUUAAAGAAUGGAUUGCGGGAACUGGAAAAUCAAAUUGGAUGCCUCACAAAUACUCGCGUAUUUGUUCCAAACAUUUUGAACAACAUUGUGUCCGCAAACUGGGCAAACGAACUUUCAUCGAAAAGUUUUCUUUUCCAACCUUGUUCAUACACGAGAGGAGAGAGAAAAUUCUUUUCUUCAUCAUGUCAUGGAAAUCGUCCAUUCGUGCACGUCGUCGUCGUGGCAGUCUCAACAGCAUUCUGAAGCUAUUAUUGAACUUCAUAUAAUUGAUCCACAGGUUACAAGUGUAUGUGUAAAUAAAGUUUUCUUGACCCCCACAAUAUGUACAACGCGCAACACGUAAGAUUUUUUAUUUAAACAUAAAUAUUCGGUUUUAAGUAACAGUUUUAAUGUAAAUGACCAUGUCAACUUAAAAUCAUAUACUGCGAAUCAAUAUUAUAGCUAUAAAUGUCAGUGCGCUGUGUUCCUUUUCAAUAUCCGCAUCGUCCUUUAGAUUUUUAGUAAUUAUAUGUCCUAGGUAUUAAAAAAUGAACACUCUGCUCAAGGCAAAACCACCGAGUGUCACCGGUUCAACUAUCGGUAGGAUUACCUGCUCGGAAGAUGAGUAUCUUACGUUUUUAGUAAUAUUGAUGAGCCAAUGAGAAUCUGCAUACGUGUCAUACACCUUUCAAUCAAUCAAUUUUUUCAAAAAUUCAAUUUAUUUGUGUUGUUCUCAAGUAAAAGGUACCGCAUUGUCGCUUAUCAUAAGGACGCUCUUACAGGUUAUUCGUAUAGAGAGCAAGCAAAUUGUAUCCUUAUGGUAAGCGACUAUGUGGUACCUUUUACUUGAGAACGACACAUUUAAUUAUUAUUUCUAGUAAGUACAGUUAUAAUAAUAUAAGUUUUGAAUAAAGAAAUUACCUCUUUUGAUA